rnacentral:rRNA from 1 species
GGGUAAUCUUCCGCAAUGGGCGAAAGCCUGACGGAGCAAUACCGCGUGAGGGAGGAAGGCUCUUGGGUUGUAAACCUCUUUUCUUAGGGAAGAAGCUCUGACGGUACCUAAGGAAUAAGCAUCGGCUAACUCCGUGCCAGCAGCCGCGGUAAUACGGAGGAUGCAAGCGUUAUCCGGAAUCAUUGGGCGUAAAGCGUCCGUAGGUGGCAGUUCAAGUCUGCUGUUAAAGGCUGGGGCUUAACCCCAGACAGGCAGUGGAAACUGAACAGCUAGAGUGUGGUAGGGGUAGAGGGAAUUCCCGGUGUAGCGGUGAAAUGCGUAGAUAUCGGGAAGAACACCGGUGGCGAAAGCGCUCUGCUGGACCACAACUGACACUGAGGGACGAAAGCUAGGGGAGCGAAUGGGAUUAGAUACCCCAGUAGUCCUAGCCGUAAACGAUGGAUACUAGGUGUUGUGAGUAUCGACCCUCACAGUGCCGCAGCUAACGCGCUAAGUAUCCC